UAAAGUGCAAAAAACUAUUUAAUUUAAUAGAUGUAAUGAGAGGAUUAGCUCUAUAAAUUAUAAAGCUGAAAAAAAACUUACAUGCAAAAAGAGGCGGAGGAAUAUGGCUGGAAUUGUCAAAUUUGUUUGUGUUAUGACUAUCUUUUUCUUUCUAAUUAUUUUUCCAACAAAUGUUUACGCCGCUAUUAGAUGUCACAAGACUUCCAGUUGUCCAAGAAGCAUGCGUUGCAUCGUUGGUUUUCAAUUGAGUUGUAUAAUGCAACAAUGUAAAUGUAUUAAAGUCUCGACCACAAUAGAUUUUGUACCCACAUGAUUAUAUAUUUUGCAAGACAUAUUGCCAAAUUAUAUAAUGAUUAAAUAGCUAAAUGGAAAGAUAUAAAUAAAUAUUAAUAGUUAAACGGUUGAAAAUAGAGAUCUUUUAUUGCACAUAA